GGGGGCUGUAAGGAGAGGAGAGAAUGCUGCCGUGACCAGUCACUUUCUUGGUAGCAGAGAGUGGAGAAAACUGUGGGGACCAGGAAGGCUCCUGCCGGUGAGCAGGAAGCCUGGAGUGAAAGGGGAAAAGACACCUGAAAGACGCAGGAUUGGAGCAAGCUCCUGUGCAUGACCCUGACACAAGGGACGGCACUGGUUGAGGACUCAAGCCUCUAUACCAACAAAGGAACAUGGCCUUGCCCUCACAUUGUUCAAGCUCAAAGGACAAUUCAAGUCCAACGUGAACUGCUAAGAAGCUAAAGAAAGCACACAAAGCCCAUGCCAUGCAGUGUGGUCCCUGUACCCUCUCCUAGGGAUCAUAUGCCAGUGGUGUGAGACAGAGCUUCCCCUGGUUUGCUCUAACCAGGGGAGAAUGUAGCCUCCUGACUCAAUGGGUGCACUGCACUAAACUCUAGUGUAAUUGCAGUAAGUCACACAAUAGCUUCUUGGACAUGAUUUUGAGUUGUAGUGAAGGAGGGCACUGGCCACCUGCAGCAGCACCCACUGCCCGGGCACUGCAAUCCUAAUCCUGGCCUGGUGUGGUGGAGGAAGGCCCUGGGGUGUGGUGGGGCAGGACAGUGAGCCCUCUCUGCACUUACCCAACAGCGGCACCUCCCCUCCCACGAGGCUGGGCCUGGCUUGCCAUUUCAGGCAUUGCAACCUGUCUCAUGGGGUUGCAGCACCACUUAGAUUUGGCACCCUUGGUUGUGUGAUUUCUGUGCAGUUGAACCCACACUAAACCCACCCCGGCUCUAACUGAUGCUGGGGCCAAGCUGGUGCAGAAUCACGGAGCUGUAACUGGCUCCCUUACUUUUCUCCUGCUUCCUGUGCAAAGUGGAGUUCAGACGCAGGGGAGAAUGGAGAGCUGCAUACUGGUUUAUCACCGCCAUAGUUUCAGGCUGUUAGUAAAGUAACUGCAGCAAGAGGUACUCGGCAGGCUUUCAUCUUGGAUCUCUGCAGGGGAGAAGGGGUAGAGUACCUUAACUCUUUAUGCUAACCCAAUUCUCUAGUGUGAUAUUUGCAAACUGAAUCGCAUGUUACCAGGUGAUAUUCUGCUUAAUCUAAAACCCAAGUAAAGAUAAAAGUUGAUGUAGGGGAGAGGGAGGGAAAGAGAGAGAGAAAAUUGACAUCAUGAACAAUAAUUGCAAAACAUAUAUCUCUGUAUCAUAAAUAAAAUGUAGCAUUUACAUAGUGCUUUUCAGCAGACAGUAGCUAAGCCUUCUAAGCAGACAGCCUUCUAAGAUACAGGGCAGUAAAUAUUAUCCUCAUUAUUCCAUAAAUGUGGACAAAUUAUUGCUUCCAGUAAGCAGGUGAACAAGGGCCUUCACAUCUGGAACGGUAUAACAACACUAUGGUAAUAAUAAUAAUUAAUAAAAGCUGCCUCAGAACUUCUAGUUCAGUGGUUUUCAACAUUUUGUCAUUUGCAAACCCAUAAAAAAUUUCAAAUGGAGGUUGCGGAUCCCUUUGGAAAUCUUAAGACAUAGUCUGUGGACCCCCAGGGGUGCGCAGACCACAAUUUGAAAACUGCUGUUCUAGACCCAUGUCAGCAGGGUUACGGUACUGGAUAUGCUUCAGAAACUACCCUUAUCAAACUGGUCAAUGGUCUUCUGAAGUGUCCAUAAUGACAGUAUUAGAUGUUUCAGCCGCUUUUAGUACUGCUAAUCAUGAGGUGAUGUACUCAUAAUUAGGUCUCGGAAGAUUGUACCAGGAAACUGCUCAUUGCCAUCAUGCAGGAUGCUGCGGGGUUCCAUCUUAUUAACCCUCUUGUUCAGUAUGUAUGUGGGGCAAGUCAGUGAGAUAGGGCGGAGACAUGACUGGUGGCGGCAUCAGUAUGUUGACGUCACUCCCUUCUAUACCUUCCUGCUAACUAAUCAUACUGGUGCAGAUGAGUCUUGCGGCAGGGAUGAAGGAUAAUUGGUUGAAGUUCAAUCAAAAUAAGAUGGAGGUGAGGAGAGCAAGUUCCACCUACCGAUCACCAGAGGCAGUUGAGCUAGAGCCCACUUGAUUUAUGUAACAGGGAGCUGCUGGCAAGCCAUUCUCCUUCCGUUUUGGAAUUACUGCACCCUUUUGGUCCAAAAUGGCUUAAAUGUGUUGACCUUCAGGGCAUGCUACUGAGACGAUGUAUUUUCCUGGAUAUUUGGAAAGGUGGGGUGUCAUUGUAUGGCUGGAUUUCAUUGGCUUGAAUGAUUUUCUGUAUUUUAAAAUUUUGUGUGCAAUGUUUUACACCUGUGAAGGCUCUUAGGAGUAUUGCAGAGGCACUUCUUUUCGUCUUUUAAAAUAUCAUAAUAAACAAAU